rnacentral:rRNA from 1 species
UUAGGACGAACGCUGGCGGCGUGCUUAACACAUGCAAGUCGAACGCUGAAGCUCCCAGCUUGCUGGGGGUGGAUGAGUGGCGAACGGGUGAGUAUCACGUGAGUAACCUGCCCUUGACUCUGGGAUAAGCCCGGGAAACUGGGUCUAAUACUGGAUAGGACUGGCCAUCGCAUGGUGGUUGGUUGAAAGCUUUUGCGGUUUUGGAUGGACUCGCGGCCUAUCAGCUUGUUGGUGGGGUAAUGGCCUACCAAGGCUUUGACGGGUAGCCGGCCUGAGAGGGUGACCGGCCACACUGGGACUGAGACACGGCCCAGACUCCUACGGGAGGCAGCAGGUGGGGAUAUUGCACAAUGGGCGCAAGCCUGAAUGCAGCGACGCCGCGUGAGGGAUGACGGCCUUCGGGUUGUAAACCUCUUUCAGUUGGGAAGAAGCCUUUCGGGGUGACGGUACCUUCAGAAGAAGCACCGGCUAACUACGUGCCAGCAGCCGC